GAAGAGAGGGUGACGAAGGCGGGAGAGCCAACCGGGGAGGAAGAGAAGGUGAUAGGGAGGGGAGAGCCGAUCAGGGAGAAAGAGAGGGUGACGGAGGCGAUGGGCUCGAUGGGACAGGAGAGCCAGGAAAAGAGGAGGAGGUGAUGGAGGAGACGAUCCCCGGGGGUAAGAAGUGUGUUGUUGACUUCACGGUGCAGGCGAUCGGCAAGAGGCCGAGAUUGCCGUAGCAGUACAUGGUUUCUCCCUUCAUGGUCGACAUGAAGAGGAUGAGGUUCAUCGAUGGGACGAUUCCGAACCUAUUUCGGGAGGUGGACCAUGCCAAAUGGAAAACGCUCCAGACGGAGUGGAGAGGAAUUUUAUUUGGGUAAGUAUUCAUGAUAUUAGUAAAGUAUGUUGCGUUACUCGUAUCGCUUAUUUAACAUUUUUAUUUUUCUUUUGUCAGGACCAGCCGCACGACUGGUCAAACGACCAUCUCCGAUGCUUAUAAGUGGUUCCACGACAUCAUCACUCCAGGAGCUUGGCUUGCCGACGAUGUAAGUGAAGUAGUCAUAAUGUUAUUUUUUAUGUGUAUAUAAUUUUUUAUUUAUGCAAUGAAAUAACUCCUUUUUAUAUUGGUGUUCUUAAUGCAGCACAUCGACCUAGCCAUGGACUUUUUGCGUGAUCGGGUUCAAAGAUAUCUGAGGUCAUUUGACAGUCUUGGCUGAGUCAUACUGAAUUUGGAGUUCAGCUGAAGCAUUGACAUUGAGUACUAGUCGCUACAAUGUGCUGGUACGAAGUACGUGGUGCCUGACUAUAUGCUCGAGUGGACCAUAUGGAUGUGGCCACAUGUUGGGAGGAAGCCAUGGGAGGGUUGUACGCAUAUGUACAUACCAGUGAUCUUGAAUUCGCACUGCAUAGCUUUGGAGAUUGUGCUGGCCAAGUCUACUGUAUAUGUGUAUGACCCCGAUCAUUUAUGUCUGACACAGAGUUAGUUCGAGCAAAAUCUGGAGUCCAUCGCUGUUUUAGUCCCUAUGAUGGUUAGAUGACCCGGGCUUGACUCUGAACGAUAGAUUAGCCAUCAUGCCCAGGCUAGGCAGACAAUAUCGUAAGUGGUUCUACAUAUUUGUAAAUUUAAUACUUAAUUUUUUCUAUAUGAUAAAGAUCUAACUUAUUAUUGUUCAAUUGCAGGGGCGAUUGCGGCAAGUUUGCAAUAAAAUAUAUUGAGUUUUUGACUACCUAGGUUGAUGGAAUCAACUAAUCCUGAAUGCAAAUUUGGAGAAAUAAGUUAGCGUGCGAUUUGCACGACUUUAGUUGUGAUCUGUAAAUGCUGUAAAAAUUUGAUUUUUUUAAUUACGAAAUGUUUGUAAACACUUUGUAUAUUGAUUUGUACCUUGUGGAUGAAUGUAAUUGUAUAUUAUUUUCUAUAUUUGCUUCAUCUAUGAUAUUAAUA
rnacentral:lncRNA from 1 species